AUGUCCAGUACCUCCUUCCCUCUCCUCACGCGGACCAACUAUCCCAGUUGGUCCGUCCUGAUGAAAGUCAUCAUGGAGGCGCGACAUAUGUGGGAAGCUGUGGAAACCGGCAAUGUCGAGUACGAGGAGGACCGGCUGGCGAUGGAGGCGAUCUUGCGCUCCGUCCCAGAGGAGAUGGUGCUCACCCUUGGCGCCAAGGAGACGGCCAAGGAAGCAUGGGACACCAUCAAGACUCUGCGCAUCGGCGUGGAGCGCGUACGGGAGUCGAAGGCCCGGACCUUGUGCCUCCAGUACGAGGAGAUCUGGUUCAAGGCCGGUGAACAAGUCGACUACUUCGCCUUGCGGCUGCAAGAGUACAAGCAACUGGCCUGGUCCAAUGAGAGUUUGGUGGAUCUCUCCACCAUGACGAUCGAGGAGCUGGUAGGGCGGCUGAAGGUCGUCGAGGAGCGCUGCGACGAAGCCGACAACCGUGCUGGCGGCGAACUAUACUGCUCACCAAGGAGCAGUGGGACGCACAGCUUCAGCAGCGCGGCCGCGACGGCUCUUCCGGCAGUGGGGGAGGCGCCCCCACGGGAAGCAGAGGUCGCGGCAGAGGCGGAGGCCGCGCCCAGAGCGGCCGCAGCAACCGUGGGCGCAAGCCAAGCCAGGCAGGCUGUGGAAACCGGCAAUGUCGAGUACGAGGAGGACCGGCUGGCGAUGGAGGCGAUCUUGCGCUCCGUCCCAGAGGAGAUGGUGCUCACCCUUGGCGCCAAGGAGACGGCCAAGGAAGCAUGGGACACCAUCAAGACUCUGCGCAUCGGCGUGGAGCGCGUACGGGAGUCGAAGGCCCGGACCUUGUGCCUCCAGUACGAGGAGAUCUGGUUCAAGGCCGGUGAACAAGUCGACUACUUCGCCUUGCGGCUGCAAGAGGUCUCGCAAUACAAGCAACUGGCCUGGUCCAAUGAGAGUUUGGUGGAUCUCUCCACCAUGACGAUCGAGGAGCUGGUAGGGCGGCUGAAGGUCGUCGAGGAGCGCUGCGACGAAGCCGACAACCGUGCUGGCGGCGAACUAUACUGCUCACCAAGGAGCAGUGGGACGCGCAGCUUCAGCAGCGCGGCCACGACGGCUCUUCCGGCAGUGGGGGAGGCGCCCCCACGGGAAGCAGAGGUCGCGGCAGAGGCGGAGGCCGCGCCUAGAGCGGCCGCAGCAACCGUGGGCGCAAGCCAAGCCAGGCAGGGUGAGGCGCUGGCAACGGUGGCAAGUGCCACUACUUCAACAUGCCGGGUCGCUGGAUCCGGGAUUGCCGCAGGAGGAAAGCCGACGAGGCAGCCGCGACAACGACAAACCUCGUCCAAGCUGACGUGGACGGCGGGCCGGCAAUGA
rnacentral:rRNA from 1 species